UGUCUGCGAUGAAUCGGAAAGUUGCUGUUACUAAUUCAGGUCACUUCUGAGGAGUAUGUCACGAUCUUAGAAUCGGGCGA
rfam:Pseudoramibacter alactolyticus ATCC 23263 genomic scaffold SCAFFOLD1, whole genome shotgun sequence.